UCCGUUUCUUUGCAAACGGGAGCUUUCUGUACAAUAUCGGUGACGCUGAGCACGUUUCCAAGGCUACCGUCUGUCGGGCAGUCAGGAAUGUUACAGUUGCACUGAAACGUCUCCUGCACUCGUUUGUGGUGUUCCCCGGUCACAGACCCACAAGAUUCAUCAAAGAGGGAUUCCACAAAAUUGCAGGGUUCCCAGGCGUGAUUGGCUGUAUAGAUGGCACCCACAUUCCAAUCAUUGCACCCUCAGCAAAUGAAGGAGACUAUGUGAACAGGAAGUCCUUCCACAGCAUCAAUGUACAGGUACAUAAUUCCCUGUAGCAUUUCACACCAACAAGUGAUGGCAUCAUGGUAAUGGAUGCCAAUAUGUGUUCUCUGCACUGUGUAGAUCAUAUGUGAUGCUGCCAACAUCAUCACAAAUGUGGAAGCCAAGUGGCCAGGCUCUGUACAUGACUCACGAAUCUUCCGGGAAUGUACACUGAGCACCAAAUUUGGACAUGGAGAGUACACUGGCCACCUGCUUGGUGAUAGGGGGUACCCAUGUCUACCCUAUUUGCUCACCCCUUACCCUGACCCUGAACCGGGCCCACAGCAGCGUUAUAAUCUGGCCCAUUGCAGGACACGGGCCAGAGUUGAAAUGACCAUCGGAAUGCUCAAGGCCCGGUUCCAGUGCCUUCGUAGACUCAGGGUCACCCCAGAAAGGGCAUGUGACAUCAUUGUGGCAUGUGUGAUCCUACACAACAUUGCCACGAUUAGAGGUGAACACUGUCCAGCUGAACCAGACAUCAGCAGUGAUCCACACGAUGAACAUCCUGACCCACCCACGAACGUACAGGAUGGAAGAGCAGUCAGAGACACCAUAUGCCACAACCAUUUCCUGUGACCCGUCACCCCAACAUGUUACAUGACAAAUACACAGAUACUGUGGUCAACUGGCUUUAUUGGUCACCCUGUAUGUCCUGUACACAAAGUAUAAAUGCGUAUAUUAGUAUGUUGUACAAACACUGACAUGAUUCCUCCAUCUAUGAUCACUCCACCCACCCUUAACUGUUGUUCCAGCAGUACAAUCUCCAGCUUCGACUUUUGGAUCUGCAGCUGGAGGUGCACCAUUUCCAUGUCGCACUUCUGUAUCUUCCUGGCCAGAUAUGUCUUAUACAGCUGCUUUACAGGGAGCUAUUGCAACAAAGGACAUAGCAUUGGCAUCCAUAGUACAUGCCUACUUAGGUUGGUUGUAAAUCAGUGCUGGACAACCCACUGUGGUAAGGUUUGUUGUAGGAGUGGCUGGACCCUCUUCCUCUUCAUUUCCAGCAUCACUCUGCCAGGGACAUAGUAAGUCCAUGGUGUCAUCAUAGUACCACAUUGUAGUCAGUUGUUAUAUUUUCCACUCUACGCUGUAUACCUCAUAGUGU